rnacentral:rRNA from 1 species
UACGUAGGGUCCAAGCGUUAAUCGGAAUUAUUGGGCGUAAAGCGCGCGCAGGCGGUCUCUUAAGUCUGAUGUGAAAGCCCACGGCUCAACCGUGGAGGGUCAUUGGAAACUGGGAGACUUGAGUGCAGAAGAGAAGAGCGGAAUUCCACGUGUAGCGGUGAAAUGCGUAGAGAUGUGGAGGAACACCAGUGGCGAAGGCGGCUCUUUGGUCUGUAACUGACGCUGAGGCGCGAAAGCGUGGGGAGCAAACAGG